AUGGGCUCCUGCGAGAUGACGGCCACGGAGGUAGCGGCGCUGCUGGAUCUGAAGCCGCACCCGGAGGGCGGCUUCUACGCCGAGACCUUCCGCGACUCCUCCGUCUCCCUCAGCACCGCCCAGCUCCCGCCGCAGUACAAGGUCGGUCGUGCUGUGAGCACUGCUAUCUAUUUCUUGCUUCCUUCAGGGAGUGUUUCACAUCUGCAUCGUAUUCCUUGCGCUGAAACCUGGCAUUUCUACAAGGGAGAGCCUCUCACGGUAUUUGAGCUACACGACGAUGGCCACAUUGACCUCACCGUAAUUGGUCCGCACCUAGAUGCUGGGCAGCGCCCCCAGUACACCGUGCCACCAAAUGUGUGGUUUGGAUCUUUCCCUACGUUGGAUGUUGAGUCGUUUGCAUCCGAUGGCAGCCAUCUUGUGAACUCUCGGAAGCGAGACCCCGAGAAGCACUACUCCCUUGCUGGCUGCACCUGUGCCCCUGGCUUUGAGUAUGAAGAUUUUGAAAUGGCCUCUUUUGAUGAUGUGAAAUCUAUUGCCCCGAAGGCAGAACCCUUCCUCAAUUACCUUAUUCCUUCCAAGAAGUAA
rnacentral:rRNA from 1 species